UGGGGAAUAUUGGACAAUGGGCGCAAGCCUGAUCCAGCCAUGCCGCGUGAGUGAUGAAGGCCCUAGGGUUGUAAAGCUCUUUCACCGGUGAAGAUAAUGACGGUAACCGGAGAAGAAGCCCCGGCUAACUUCGUGCCAGCAGCCGCGGUAAUACAAAGGGGGCUAGCGUUGUUCGGAAUUACUGGGCGUAAAGCGCACGUAGGCGGAUCGAUCAGUUAGGGGUGAAAUCCCGGGGCUCAACCCCGGAACUGCCUCUAAUACUGUCGAUCUGGAGUUCGAGAGAGGUGAGUGGAAUUCCUAGUGUAGAGGUGAAAUUCGUAGAUAUUCGGAGGAACACCAGUGCCGAAGGCGGCUCACUGGCUCGAUACUGACGCUGAGGUGCGAAAGCGUGGGGAGCAAACA
rnacentral:rRNA from 1 species